GAUGAAGAACGUAGCGAAAUGCGAUAAGUAAUGUGAAUUGCAGAAUUCAGUGAAUCAUCGAAUCUUUGAACGCACAUUGCGCCCCUUGGUAUUCCGAGGGGCAUGCCUGUUCGAGCGUCAUUUCAACCCUCAAGCACAGCUUGGUCUUGGGCUUCGCCGCUAACCCGGCGGGUCUUAAAAUCAGUGGCGGUGCCGUCGGGCCCUGAGCGCAGUAAUCUCUCUCGCUAUAGGGUCCCGGCGGAUGCUGGCCAGUAACCCCCAAUUUUCUAUGGUUGACCUCGUAUCAGGUAGGGAUACCCGCUGAACUUAAGCAUAUCAAUAAGCGGAGGA
rnacentral:misc_RNA from 1 species